rnacentral:rRNA from 1 species
ACGGAAGGCAGCAGUGGGGAAUAUUGGGCAAUGGGCGCAAGCCUGACCCAGCAACGCCGCGUGAAGGAAGAAGGCUUUCGGGUUGUAAACUUCUUUUGUCAGGGACGAAUAAAUGACGGUACCUGACGAAUAAGCCACGGCUAACUACGUGCCAGCAGCCGCGGUAAUACGUAGGUGGCAAGCGUUAUCCGGAUUUACUGGGUGUAAAGGGCGUGUAGGCGGGAUUGCAAGUCAGAUGUGAAAACCACGGGCUCAACCUGUGGCCUGCAUUUGAAACUGUAGUUCUUGAGUACUGGAGAGGCAGACGGAAUUCCUAGUGUAGCGGUGAAAUGCGUAGAUAUUAGGAGGAACACCAGUGGCGAAGGCGGUCUGCUGGACAGCAACUGACGCUGAGGCGCGAAAGCGUGGGGAGCAAACAGG